rnacentral:rRNA from 1 species
UACGGGGGGAGCAAGCGUUGUUCGGAAUUACUGGGCGUAAAGGGCGCGUAGGCGCCUUCUAAGUCGAACGUGAAAUCCCCGGGCUCAACCCGGGAACUGCGUCCGAUACUGGAAGGCUUGAAUCCGGGAGAGGGAUGUGGAAUUCCAGGUGUAGCGGUGAAAUGCGUAGAUAUCUGGAGGAACACCGGUGGCGAAGGCGACAUCCUGGACCGGUAUUGACGCUGAGGCGCGAAGCCAGG